GCCACUGACUGCUCUUGCUCAUAUCGUUUUUAUUGUUUUCGUCCGCCGCGCGGUAUACAUACAACGACGCCGACGACGACGAACGGGGCAAAUUUGCAAUUCUGGUCUACCUUGCUCAAAGUCAACUCCCGUCAGCCAGCCAGCAGCGGAACAGUCAGUCCAUUUCCAGCCGGUUCGCUAAACGGUUGCACUUCGGUCGGUGUUCCAUCUCCGGAUCUAGUCUUUUGGGAGUUUUGGGCUUUGUGGGGACGAUCUCGCGUAUGGUAUUAAGGCCUCGGCGCAACAGAGAGAGAGAGAGAGCGAGAGUGAGAGCGAGUGUGAUGCAUUUGUGAUUGUGGUGCGCAUUGUGAUGCAUGAAGAUUGAAGAGGAGAAGAAAGGAUUCCUACUGUUAACUGCUACUGCUUGGAUGUACGAGAGGUGGAUAAGUUUCGCGAAUCGCGUGAGCCAGAAGAUUUGAAGGAGGUGGUGUUCAACACAAUCGAAACGAGAUGAAUGAAGAUAACAUGGAAAAUUGAAAUUUUUGCUGACUAGUUUCACUAUCACUGAAAAAGUGCGCGCGGUACAUUGGUGAACAAGAAGAAGUAGGAGUAAGAAGAAGAAGAAAAAACAUCGCACAGAAGCGAGGGAAAAUAGUGCAGUUUUUAUUGGAUUGCUCGCUCGUUUGGUGUGUUAUCGUUUGUUGGUGCCAUUUAGGUUCGUGAUGUGUGCGAAAUUUUCGCUUUCAUCUGCAUCAGGCGUGGUUGAGCAAUAAUUUGUGAUAAACAGUAUUACCAGGUCGUCGUAUUCCACGGCAAAGCAUGGCAAUGUGUACAAACAAUCAAAAAAGCAGUGAAAUUCCACGAUUUCUGGCGAUCAAGUCGCGUCAUCGCAAAUGAAUGAAGUGAGUGAAUGUGCUAAUUGUGAGCAGCGACAACGACGCAUGUCGUACAAAAA